GUCAGUUAAAAACAUCACAGAAAAUUCAAGAGUAGUGUCCAUUUAUGCUGAAUGUCUUACCAUUACAGUAACAUAUUAACGUUGCAUACAUCAGAAUCAGAAUCAGGGUUUAUUGCCAAGUACAUUUACACAUACAAGGAAUUUGACUUGGUGUAUUGGUGCUAAACAAUUAACAAGGAAAUAAAGCAGAACUAGCAACAACUUAAAUAAUACAGUAUAAGAAGCUAUUACAAUAUAUAUAUAAUAGAAUUUAAAAAUGUAAAAUAUAAAACA